AUCACACAACAGUUUUGUAACCAUGUUCUCGCAGAAAGUUCCAUAGUCCACCCUUCUGGAACAAAAUAAAGUGAUUUCCAGAAAGGAUAUGGGUCAGUGACAAUGUGGGAAGAAACAAGAAAAAUCAAUAACCUACAUUUUCAUGUGAAAUGACGACAUCUUUAGCUUUACCAACAGACUUCCUAGGCAUGGUCCAGGAGAGGAUGUGAGAACGUAAUUUUAGAACCAGAAGGAAGCUAAGAAAUAAUGACAACUUAACACCUGGAUCGCCCAGGGGAGGAAAUGGAAACCCUGACUGGGGAACUUUCUUCGGUCACACAACGAGUUAUCCACUUUCAGCUUGGUGUUCUUUCAGUCUUCAUUUGCCUCCUAAAUAAAUGAUCUGCUGGCUCGGA